rnacentral:lncRNA from 10 species
CUCAGCUUCCCUAGUAGCUGGGACUACAGGUGUGCACCUCCAUGCCUGGCUAAUUUCAAAAGAAAAUUUCUUGUCAACACUGGAUCUUUCUAUGUUGCUCAGGCUGGUUUCGAAAUCCCAGCCUCAAGUGAUCCUCCUGCCUCAGCCUCCCAAAGUGCUGAGAUUAUAAGCAUGAGCCACUGCCCUGUGGGCCCAGAUGUGCUUAGGGGAAAGUACUUUGU